rnacentral:rRNA from 1 species
ACAGAGGGUGCGAGCGUUGUUCGGAAUUACUGGGCGUAAAGCGUGCGUAGGCGGCCUUUCAAGUUGGGUAUGAAAGCCCGGGGCUCAACCCCGGAAAUGCGCCCAAGACUGUUUGGCUAGAGACCCGGAGAGGUGAGUGGAACUCCCAGUGUAGAGGUGAAAUUCGUAGAUAUUGGGAAGAACACCAGUGGCGAAGGCGGCUCACUGGACGGGUACUGACGCUGAGGCACGAAAGCGUGGGGAGCAAACAGGA